CGUGUAGGCGGUUUGUUUAGUCUGAUGUGAAAGCCCUGGGCUCAACCCAGGAAGUGCAUUGGAAACUGGCAGACUUGAAUACGGGAGAGGGUAGCGGAAUUCCUAGUGUAGGAGUGAAAUCCGUAGAUAUUAGGAGGAACACCGGUGGCGAAGGCGGCUGCCUGGACCGAUAUUGACGCUGAGACGCGAAAGCGUGGGUAGCAAACA
rnacentral:rRNA from 1 species